rnacentral:sRNA from 10 species
GGCAGCUCGCAGGAGUGCGGACUGUCGUCUGAUUGUUUGAGGGUGCCAGAUGUAAAUAAUCGGUGGAGCGGCUGCAAAAGAGCCGUCUCGCUGGGUAAAAUCAGGAUGUGCCGCGGAACCCGCUCCUCAGCUAGUCACACUUCGGAAGCGCGGGCAACGCAGGUAUUAUCGUUCUAAAGGGCCGGCUGCAACCGGCCC